GGCAUCUGAAGGUUCAUCCCUAUUGCUGCUCUGUGUAGUUAAUCUACCUUGUGCUUUCUGGAGCUUUUGAUUUCCUCACUUACUUCUGGGAUUACGCGGUUUAAUCUAUUGUGAUCAAGAUGUCAACCUCUAUGCUCAAAGAUAUACACCCCCGGAGUAGACACUGGGUUGUCUGUACCCGAGUCUCAAGAAUGUGGGAAUAUCGUGGAGGAUCUGAUGAUGGUGAUAUACGACAUAUUGACCUUGUGCUCUUGGAUGCUGAGGGGACUGCUAUGUACGCUGAAAUUGCCUCGGACAAUAUCAAAGACAAGAAAGCUUUGCUCGCUGAAGGGAAGGUAUACACCCUAAAGAGAUUCAGGGUGCUCAAAUCAAAACCCUCUUACAGACCUGUUGACUCAGAAUUUAUGAUCGAAAUUACCUGUCAUACCUUGAUUGAAGAGAACAGUGGCCA